AGCCGUAUAUUUGGCAAGAAAUGCUGUUGUGAUUUGAUUUGUAACGUGUGUUACAGUGCAUAGAUAAGGGAGAGACGUGUAGCCGUAUAUUUGGCAAGAAAUGCUGUGGUGAUUUGGAAUGCAAGAAGGGAUUUUUGAGCGACGAAUACACCUGUCGAAAGUCAAGCGAAGAUGACUGCAUAGAUGAGGGAGAGACGUGUAACGGUAUACUUGGCAAGAAAUGCUGUCGUGAUUUGGAAUGCAAGAAGGGAUUUUUGAGCGACAAAUACACCUGUCGAAAGUCAAGCGAAGAUGACUGUGCAGGGAAAAACGAGAAAUGUGAGAGAAACAGCGACUGCUGUGGCAACAGAAAAUGCAGACGACGAAACAAUUCCAAAAGAUGCGAGUAGUGUCAGGACGAUGCGUACUACAGCAGAACUUCACA